UACAGAGGUCUCAAGCGUUGUUCGGAUUCAUUGGGCGUAAAGGGUGCGUAGGCGGCGCGGUAAGUCGGGUGUGAAAUCUCGGGGCUUAACUCCGAAACUGCAUUCGAUACUGAGGAUCUUGAGUCCGGAAGAGGUGAGUGGAACUGCGAGUGUAGAGGUGAAAUUCGUAGAUAUUCGCAAGAACGCCAGUGGCGAAGGCGGCUCACUGGCCCGGUACUGACGCUGAGGCACGAAAGCGUGGGGAGCAAACAGG
rnacentral:rRNA from 1 species